UGGGGAAUAUUGCGCAAUGGGCGAAAGCCUGACGCAGCAACACCGCGUGAGGGAUGACGGCCUUCGGGUUGUAAACCUCUUUCAGCUCCGACGAAGCGAAAGUGACGGUAGGAGCAGAAGAAGCACCGGCUAACUACGUGCCAGCAGCCGCGGUAAUACGUAGGGUGCAAGCGUUGUCCGGAAUUAUUGGGCGUAAAGAGCUCGUAGGCGGUCCGUUGCGUCUGCCGUGAAAACCCGGAGCUCAACUCCGGGCCUGCGGUGGAUACGGGCGGACUAGAGUCCGGUAGGGGAGACUGGAAUUCCUGGUGUAGCGGUGGAAUGCGCAGAUAUCAGGAGGAACACCGGUGGCGAAGGCGGGUCUCUGGGCCGGAACUGACGCUGAGGAGCG
rnacentral:rRNA from 1 species